UACAGAGGGGGCAAGCGUUAUUCGGAAUUAUUGGGCGUAAAGGGCGCGUAGGCGGCCUGGCAAGUGGAAGGUGAAAUCCCUCGGCUUAACCAAGGAACUGCCCUCCAAACUGCUUGGCUUGAGUCCGGGAGAGGUGAGUGGAAUUCCCAGUGUAGCGGUGAAAUGCGUAGAUAUUGGGAGGAACACCAGUGGCGAAGGCGGCUCACUGGACCGGAACUGACGCUGAGGCGCGAAAGCGUGGGGAGCAAACGGG
rnacentral:rRNA from 1 species